GACAGAGGAUGCAAGCGUUAUCCGGAAUGAUUGGGCGUAAAGCGUCUGUAGGUGGCUUUUUAAGUCCGCCGUCAAAUCCCAGGGCUCAACCCUGGACAGGCGGUGGAAACUACCAAGCUGGAGUACGGUAGGGGCAGAGGGAAUUUCCGGUGGAGCGGUGAAAUGCGUGAGAUAUGCGGAGGAACACCGAUGGCGAAGGCAAUCCCCUGGGCCUGCACUGACGCUCAUGCACGAAAGCGUGGGGAGCAAACA
rnacentral:rRNA from 1 species